rnacentral:lncRNA from 1 species
GGGUUUUGAUUCUUGUGGGUUUGAAUGUGGGUUUGAUGUGUUUUGGUUUUGAUUUUUGGUUUGAAUGUGUUAGGGUAUCAAAACAGAGGGUUUGAAUGUGGGUUUGAAUGUGUUUUGGUUUUGAUUCUUGUGGGUUUGAAUGGUAUCAAAACAGAGGGUUUGAAUGUGGGUUUGAAUGUGUUUUGGCUUUGAUUCUUGUGUGUUCAUCAUAUUGA